rnacentral:rRNA from 1 species
AGCAGCCGCGGUAAUUCCAGCUCCAAUAGCGUAUAUUAAAGUUGUUGCAGUUAAAAAGCUCGUAGUUGAAUUUCGAGAUCAAAUUGUUGGUCGUGCCUUGGUACGCACUGGCAUUAUUGGUUUCUCCCUUCUGAAGAACCAUGAUGUCAUUAAUUUGGUGUCUUGGGGAAUCAGGACUGUACUUUGAAAAAUUGAGUGUUUAAAGCAGGCUCGCGCUUGAAUACAUUAGCAUGGAAUAAUGAAAUAGGACGUUUGAUUCUAUUUUGUUGGUUUCUAGGAUCGACGUAAUGAUUAAUAGGGAUAGUUGGGGCAUUAGUAUUCAAUUGUCAGAGGUGAAAUUCUU